rnacentral:rRNA from 1 species
AACGCGAAGAACCUUACCCAGGCUUGACAUACAGAGGAAGUAAGCAGAGAUGCUAACGCUCUUCGGAGCCUCUGAACAGGUGCUGCAUGGCUGUCGUCAGCUCGUGCCGUGAGGUGUUGGGUUAAGUCCCGCAACGAGCGCAACCCUUAUCGUUAGUUGCCAACAGGUAAAGCUGGGAACUCUAGCGAGACUGCCUGGGUUAACCAGGAGGAAGGUGAGGAUGACGUCAAGUCCGCAUGGCCCUUAUGUCUGGGGCUACACACGUGCUACAAUGGCCGGUACAGAAGGCAGCGAAGCCGCGAGGCGAAGCAAAUCCCAAAAGCCGGCCCCAGUUCAGAUUGCAGUCUGCAACUCGACUGCAUGAAGACGGAAUUGCUAGUAAUGGCGAGUCAGCAACAUCGCCGUGAAUACGUUCCCGGGCCUUGUACACACCGACGCAC